UGUGCUAGAAUGAAGAAGUUGCCUAGCAAUCCUUGGUGCUUAGUUCCUUUCACCAAGCAUAUUAUACGCGUAAAAAAUGACACCAAAGGAGAGAUACCAAUG
rnacentral:ncRNA from 2 species